UACGGGGGGGGGCAAGCGUUGUUCGGAAUCACUGGGCGUAAAGGGCGCGUAGGCGGCUUUGUAAGUCGGGGGUGAAAGCCUGUGGCUCAACCACAGAAUUGCCUUCGAUACUGCAUGGCUUGAGACCGGAAGAGGUAAGUGGAACUGCGAGUGUAGAGGUGAAAUGCGUAGAUAUUGGGAGGAACACCAGUGGCGAAGGCGGCUCACUGGACCGGUACUGACGCUGAGGCGCGAAAGCGUGGGGAGCAAACAGG
rnacentral:rRNA from 1 species